AUACUGGGAGGAAUGGGAAAGGAAAACACCUGGCUGGAAAAGUGCACGAUAACAACUAUAAAGCGCACUGCACUGUGCCGGCGCACUUUUUCCAUAGGCAUGCUUCUAAUGGUGGGCACAUGAAGAACAUGAGGGGCGUGAAAGCUCGGGGAACCCUUAACCAAUUUGUUAUCCACCAGGCCACGACAAAAGCAGAUAUGACCUAGAGGUAAAGGUCACCCAGAUGGCAGAGGAGCGUAUCCAAGAAGACAACGAGACAAAUGGUGGAAAAGACACAAGCACAACUGUUGACAGAGCCAACAUGGGACAGGGGAAAAUGAAAAAAGAAUCUGUGGGACAAGAGGUGCAGAACAGGAGACAGCAAGAAGAAAGAAAGACUAAAGAUGAAAGAAACAAUAAUCAGGCUCAGUCUUCAAGCAUUCUGCUGAAAUCAGUCCCUGAUGCCAUAAAGAAGUCACCUGAUGGACACAUGGAGAAACAGCAAUCCCAGAAUGACCCUCAAACUGUUUUCCCUCUGAUUCAUUAUUGCAAAAUACCCACCUAUUGUGCCAGCUCCUAUAGACUCAUCAGGGCAAAAGUCAUAGAAAUAUGGCCUAUUGAUGCCAGGACAAAAGCCAGGAGACUGCAACGCUUCUACUUGCGUCAACGGAAAUAACCUUGUAAGUUUGGAUUGUAUUAUAAUGGCAUAUUGUGUGAUGUACUCCAUCACUCUGCUUCAGUUU